GAUGAACGCUAGCUACAGGCUUAACACAUGCAAGUCGAGGGGCAUCAGGAAGAAAGCUUGCUUUCUUUGCUGGCGACCGGCGCACGGGUGAGUAACACGUAUCCAACCUGCCCUUUACUCGGGGAUAGCCUUUCGAAAGAAAGAUUAAUACCCGAUGGGAUAAUGAUUCCGCAUGGUUUGAUUAUUAAAGGAUUCCGGUAAAGGAUGGGGAUGCGUUCCAUUAGGUUGUUGGUGAGGUAACGACUCACCAAGCCUUCGAUGGAUAGGGGUUCUGAGAGUAAGGUCCCCCACAUUGGAACUGAGACACGGUCCAAACCCCUACGGGAGGCAGCAGUGAGGAAUAUUGGUCAAUGGGCGCGAGCCUGAACCAGCCAAGUAGCGUGAAGGAUGACUGCCCUAUGGGUUGUAAACUUCUUUUAUAUUAGAAUAAAGUGCAGUAUGUAUACUGUUUUGUAUGUAUAAUAUGAAUAAGGAUCGGCUAACUCCGUGCCAGCCGCCGCCGUAA
rnacentral:rRNA from 1 species